GUUUUAACCUGGCCAAUCAAUUUUGUGACAGAUGUCGGAUGAAAAAUCGUUAGAUGCACGUUUGAUUCCCACCAACUUCACGAUAAUUUGACGGAUUCGUUGGAUUGCACUAAAAUCAGUCGUUCACCAUAGACCUUAAGUCUCCCAAUUGCCUGCAGUACAUCUAGUAUUGGCUCUGGGACAGGGGUGGCCAAAAUGGAGAUCGGGAUCUACCAGUAGACCUUUAGCUGGUGAUCAGUAGGUCUCAAGACAUUGUCAACAGACAGCUUGUCUAAAUCACCCUUCUGUUUUAUUAUUUUCAUUCAGAUAUUUAUCAUAAUACUGCAUUAUAAAUGAUUACAUUCUUUAAUAUAGCAAUAUAAAUGUUCCCAUAAAUCAAUAUAAUACUUAAGUAAUACAAAAUGCUAACAAUGCUAUUAUGGAUGUAGAUCAUAAUGGGUCAACAUCUUGAAAAGUAGACCCCAUAUUAGUAAAGUAUGGGCACUCCUGCUCUAGGAAGAGUAGAUGAGAUGCUAAUUGAAUAGGAAAGUACAUAGGAUGAUGGGGUGUUGUCUCAGGGGAGGGAAAUAUUACCAGGCAUUUUAUACCAUCACAUUAAAUUCCUUUCUCUUAAAGGUUCUCUUUCACUCAGGAGCAACCUGGGAACAUACAGCUAUAGUUGGUGUCUCUCCCAUGCGGCUGUUGUCUCACAUUCUCAUUUAUUAGCUUUCCAAUAUUCACGGAUGGCACAUAUAGGCUUUCUGCCCAAUCAGUUACAGAUAGAAUAGAAAAUAACAUGCAGGAACGUUGUUUGCUCUGGGGCUACAGCAGAUUGUUAAAGGGGAUCUUAACCUCGUGAAACAGAUUCAUGUAAAACUGCUCAUUUGAACACCUUUGCUCGUGGCAUUAUUAGUUCUUUUUUUUAUUAGCGGCCAUGCAUGACUAUUAGUACAACGAUACUACAACACUAACUCACAUUGUUUUCUACAUCACAAGGAGCAAAAGGAGCAAAACAAAACUAGAAUUUUUUCGGGAUUUAUUAUACCCAGAGGAUGGAAAAGUCAGAAUCUCAGACCUGCGUGGUUGAAUAUAAAUCAAUGGGAGAAGUCCCGAAGAUAUCCCGAUCUGCACUGGGUUUUGUGCAAAAAUCUGAAGAUUUCAUGGUUUUCAGGCAAAAAUCCGAAAAACGUUUGUUUUCGGGCGGAGAAUCUGCAAAAUGCGUAUGAUUCGAAUCUUUGGAUGUUUUUUUUUUCGAGUUUUUUUCCCGAACUGGAAUUUUUAUCUGCAAAAUGUAUUGAUAAAUAACAGGAAAUAACCCAUGCAGAUUUGAUUGGAGUAUAUUUCAGAAAAUGAGAUAAAUUCAGAUUUUGAAAGAUAAGACUUUUGACACUUUUUCCUGGAGAUAGCGGCUCCCCGUUAAAGCCAUGUUUAAUGGCCCCUGUGGCAUCCAGAGAAUGGAAAAGAAAGAAGCUACAGUUGGGCUCAUUCUCUAACACGGUCUCUAUUAGAAUGUGCAAUUGGUGUAUUAAAGUCCAACAUUAGAAUGGUGAUUUACAACCUGGGGGUUGCAAAAAUGUGACCUUAGUGUUGAUUUACCAGCACUUUGGCCCCCUGGGUUGUUGCUCUGUGCGUGGGCACCAGAUCACAAAUCUGGAAUCAAGCGCUGACUAAUGCAACCGUUCUCAAUCCAAGGUGCAUCUGUGCUCCUGAAACAGAUUGCACUUUACACACUGUGUGCUACAUUGUUAAUGAUCUUUUAGGUGUUUGGACAAUUAGUGAUGCAUCAUUUCAGCUGCUUUUUAACCCUAUGCUCGUAUUCAAGUGUCUAGUUGCAUAACCGCAUGUGCUGAUGAUGGAUUAUAUUAAAUAAUAGCGCCCUGCACAGUGCUAAAGUGAUGCGUCGAUAAGUGAUGAUACAGGAACAUAUUAACAACCUACAUAUGUGAGAAGAGCUGCAAUUUGUUAAUCAACUAAUGGCUUCUUCACUUCUUUCUUCAAUCGAAGGGACGAGGAACUUGGCAAGGAAGAGGAUCCCCAAGCCAAGAAGUUCAGGACUGGAACAUCUCUGCACAUGACUUUCCUCUCCUGCUUCAUGUGCAUUUUUUUGCUAAUUCUAAAGGCACAAUCAUUAGACUGACAGGUUUAGGAGGAGGAGCUAAAGGCACAAUCAUUAGUACAAGGCACAGGUGCAGUGAGAGUCACCUGAUGUCAGAUUGACAGGUUUAAGAGGAGGCGCUAAAGGCACAUUAAUAAAAAAAUGUUUCUUUUGAGCUUUAACUAUCUCCUACAUAGCAGAUCCAUCCUGUGCUUCAUACAGAUCUUGUUAAAUGUGUUUCCAAAUUCUUUUUUUCAUGUCACAUGCUUCCUCCUCUGUCGCCAGUUAUUAUGGAUAGACAAUAUGAAUUUACGUAGAGGAUAUAUUCAACUUCAGAAUUAUACAUCUUCAGUAUUGACUAUUCAUUUCCUUAUUUCAAUAUUAUUUUGUCACUAAAAUGGACACCAUCCCAUGUGCAUGGUUAAACAUUUUACUAAAUGUAUUUUUAUAUAUAACUCAAACUGACUGCACACUAACUAACCCUGUGUGUGUUUUUGAAGGUUUUCAUUCAUCCAGGUCAUUGUAUAUCUAAUAGAAGUAAAUCUAGAGUAACUAGACUUGCUGAUAAAUCAUUGAAGAUAUUUGUUAGUCUUGAUUUAAUUGAUUAUAUUUGUCUAUAGCGCUGCACCUGAGUCUGGAAGGUGGCCAUGAGCUCAGGUGCAGUAAGAGUCCUUUCCCCCAGGCAGAGGAGUUGCAGCACAGCCUGACAGUGCUUGUGCUGCACUGGUGUAACUGCGGGGACACUUCAGGGGCGGGUCAUCCAUAGUGAAGGAGGAAAUGACCAUAUGGGGUUUGCCUUGUACCCCACGGGGUGGCACCUCUAGCCUGAGGGGAUUGCCCCUGCUUGCACCCUCCCUAGCACUCAUGAGGGUGACCCAGUGUGCAGUAUAUGAGAUGUAACUCCUCUGCCCAUGUCUGCUGGUCCAUGGUGUAGUGCACCCUCCAGCGACAGGGACACAUUCUCCACAACCUGCUGGUGGAGUGCAGGGAUGGCCUUCCUGGCAAAAUAAUGGGGAGCCAGCACUUCUUCCCUGAGGAAUGGGAGGAGGUGGACUGGAUGCUGAGAAAAAUAAAUGCCUGUACCUGUGAUUCAAAAGGGGGGGUGUUCCCAGGUUUAUUGAAGUGCUCAUGACAUUUAGGUUAGAUCAGGAGGUGGACCGGGAGCCUUGUCAUAUUGGUGCUGCUCCCACAUCAUCCUGUGAUGAGGUUUUAUAUGGGAACUUAAAGCCGACAUUCCCAUAUGUGACCCUGUCUGCCCCCUACAAACUUUCUGCCGGCAGAGCUGACGCACUCCUAAGUUUGCCAGUUGCCCACUGUCACCCAAUGCCACUUGCUGCUAUGGCGCUUGUUGCUGCUGCUGUGAUUGUAGCUGCUGCUUCACUAUAGUAGCCCGUCUGGGCAUGGCAUUUGGCUAGGCUGUUGCAGGGUAGCAUGCUCAUGGCCAGCACCAUGGCCUCUUCCUAUCCCACCCUUCCUCCCAUCCCUCUCCCAUGGCCUAUCAUACUAAUCGCAUCUGAACUACAAAAAAAAUAAGGGGGUGUUUUGGAUAUCUGGGGGAAGGAAAGGAGAAAAAAAUAAAACCCUAAACUAAAACCCCUCAGCAUAAGGAAUACAGACACAAACAGUCAAUGACAGUUAGCCAUGACAAGGGCUAUUGGGAGGUGAGCAGGCAAGCAGAAGAGGGAAAACA